rnacentral:rRNA from 1 species
CAGUCGCCGCGGGAAUACAGAGGGUGCGAGCGUUAAUCGGAAUUACUGGGCGUAAAGCGCGCGUAGACGGUUUUGUAAGUCAGAUGUGAAAUCCCUGGGCUCAACCUGGGAACUGCAUUUGAUACUGCAUGGCUAGAGUAUGGAAGAGGGAAGUGGAAUUUCCGGUGUAGCGGUGAAAUGCGUAGAUAUCGGAAGGAACACCAGUGGCGAAAGCGACUUCCUGGUCCAAUACUGACGUUCAUGUGCGAAAGCGUGGGGAGCAAACAGGAUUAGAUACCCCUGUAGUCCCUGUCUCUUAUAA